rfam:Bellilinea caldifistulae strain GOMI-1 contig_22, whole genome shotgun sequence.
UUGAAUGAGUGCCUGCGGGGUGCCCCAUUCCCCGGAUGGAAAGGCUGAAAGGCGAAACCGGUGCAAGUCCGGUGCUGACGCGCAACUGUAAUUUCGGCAAACCUGCCGAAUAAGCCAGGCCGCCCGCCCGGCAGGCGUUCACCAC